rnacentral:rRNA from 1 species
GUCGAGGGGUAACGAUGGCUUCGGCCAGGCGACGACCGGCGCACGGGUGAGUAACGCGUUUGUAACCUACCUCUGUCUGGAGAAUAGCCCGAAGAAAUUCGGAUUAAUGCUCCGUAACACCAUGAUGAGGCAUCUCGUCAUGGUCAAAGCUCCGGCGGUCAGAGAUGGACAUGCGUAACAUUAGCUUGUUGGUGAGGUUACGGCUCACCAAGGCUACGAUGUUUAGGGGGUCUGAGAGGAUGGUCCCCCACACUGGUACUGAGACACGGACCAGACUUCUACGGAAGGCAGCAGUGAGGAAUAUUGGUCAAUGGGCGAAAGCCUGAACCAGCCACGCCGCGUGAAGGAGGACAGCCCUACGGGUUGUAAACUUCUUUUGUACGGGAAGAAACACUUCUACGUGUAGAAGCUUGACGGUACCGUACGAAUAAGCAUCGGCUAACUCCGUGCCAGCAGCCGCGGUAAUACGGAGGAUGCAAGCGUUAUCCGGAUUCAUUGGGUUUAAAGGGUACGUAGGCGGAAGAUUAAGUCAGUGGUGAAAUCCUGCAGCUUAACUGUAGAACUGUCAUUGAUACUGAUCUUCUUGAAUAUAGUUGAGGUAGGCGGAAUGUGUAAUGUAGCGGUGAAAUGCUUAGAUAUUACACAGAACACCGAUUGCGAAGGCAGCUUACUAAACUAUGAUUGACGCUGAGGUACGAAAGCGUGGGGAGCGAACAGGAUUAGAUACCCUGGUAGUCCACGCUGUAAACGAUGAUCACUCGUUGUUGGCGAUAUAGUGUCAGCGACUGAGCGAAAGCAUUAAGUGAUCCACCUGGGGAGUACGAUCGCAAGAUUGAAACUCAAAGGAAUUGACGGGGGCCCGCACAAGCGGAGGAACAUGUGGUUUAAUUCGAUGAUAC